UGGGGAAUUUUGGACAAUGGGCGAAAGCCUGAUCCAGCAAUGCCGCGUGUGUGAAGAAGGCCUUCGGGUUGUAAAGCACUUUUGUCCGGAAAGGAAAAUCCUUGGCUCUAAUACAGUCGGGGGAUGACGGUACCCGGAAGAAUAAGCACCGGCUAACUACGUGCCAGCAGCCGCGGUAAUACGUAGGGUGCAAGCGUUAAUCGGAAUUACUGGGCGUAAAGCGUGCGCAGGCGGUUUGCUAAGACCGAUGUGAAAUCCCCGGGCUCAACCUGGGAACUGCAUUGGUGACUGGCAGGCUAGAGUAUGGCAGAGGGGGGUAGAAUUCCACGUGUAGCAGUGAAAUGCGUAGAGAUGUGGAGGAAUACCGAUGGCGAAGGCAGCCCCCUGGGCCAAAUACUGACGCUCAUGCACGAAAGGCGUGGGGAAGCAAACAGGAUUAGAUACCCUGGUAGUCCCACGCCCUAAACGAUGUCAACUAGUUGUU
rnacentral:rRNA from 1 species